GAACGUUUUGGAAUACGGAACACAAGAAGACUUCCUCAGGCACUGCCUGUCUGGACCACAGUGUAGGACGCGCGAAUCUGCAGCUAGGGGGAUUCUGUGAUCACAAAGAACCCGGUGCUCAGAUUGCCUGUAUCUGGAGGGAACUCACCUGAAGGAAAAGCAACCGUGCUUUCCACAGACUCCAAAUCAUCCUCACGCUCGCCGAAAGCAGGGCGACUUUCCCCAUAGAAACAGAAGGCCCAGAGCAGGUGGCACAGCCUGAGGGGGACUGAGGCCUGCAAAGUGACUCAGAAAAAGAACUGCUCUUUCAGGAUCAAUCAUGGAGCUUUCCAAGGGCAUAUUUUUCAGCACUGAGGGAAGUCGUCCCAGAGUAUUUCAUUUCCAGGUAAGGGUGACCACUAGGUUUUUCCUCAUCCAAUAUGUUCUCAGUAGCUCCUCCAGUCGUCUAAAUGUGGACUUGAAGAACAUCAGCCACAGGCCAAUUUACAACCCUUCCACAAGGGUUUAAAUUCUGUGGCCUUCCCUCUAAUAUACGGUUGUAUUCAAAUUGCUGCCUAUUUGCUUUAAAUCAC
rnacentral:lncRNA from 1 species